CAGAGCUUCCUUUAAACUUUACAUCUCAGGAAACAAUUCAUAGCAGGUUUUCAGUUUAAAAAGUCUCUAUCUUAGUAGCUUAUUGUUUUAAUAGGCUGUAUUGCUAUAUUUCUGUGAGAGUAGUUCAACAGAGCUCUAUUGAUGUAACACACGUUUCAGAUUUAUGUGGAUUUUUAAAAUGGAUUUUCCUCCAGAGAUCAGUGUUUUAAUUCUGUCUCUGACAGCACCGUUUGUUCUCUACACAAUGAACCAUGUGUCCUGCUUACAAGAUCCACAGGUUAUUUUGGCAAUUGGCAUAACGGUUCUUACAACUAUAUUUCUCUUGGCAAACCUCAGUGUGAAGAGCAAGAAAAGUAUUGAUCCACUUUUCUAUGUGUUUGCUGUGUUUGCCUUCACCUCUGUUGUUGCCAUGACAAAUGCUUUACAGCAGGACGGGUUCAUCAAAGGCUUUAUGGACUUUUACAUCAGCAAGGGGGAGCCUUACCUGAGCACCGCCCACUGCAUCAUGAUGAGCUACUGGGAUGGAGUCGUUCACUACGGUCUGCUCCUCAUCAUGGUCCAUCGGAUCGCUGCAGGGAAGCCGUUCCGCGGAUUGGCUCUGGCGUGGACGGGAUCUAUGAUAGCUAAUCAGAUCGUGUUCAUCCCAGGCAUCAUUGUAGGGAAAUAUGGGAAAAACAUCCAGCCUGCUUUCUGGAGAAAUGCUCCCUUCUUGUUUUUACCCAUAUGGGCGGCAACCAAGCUUUUCAAUAGGCCGAGAGAGCUGUCAAUCAUUCCUGCUGACAAGAUGGAGGCACAGCAGAGAAAGGGACUGCUGUCUCGACCCAUAGACCUUCUUCUCAUACUGAGUCUCUCAGCAACCAUGAUCUUCACUGUGUUCAGAGGGUUUGUUGUUCUUGAAUGUUCUCUGGAUUCUUGUUUUAACUACAUCUACCAGUACGAGCCGUACAUGAAAGAUAACGUGGGCUUCCCAAAAGUCAUGAUGCUGGUCUUUCUGUUCUAUGGAUUACCGCUCUUGACAGCGUGUGUAUAUGGGCUGUACAUGCCCGGAUGUACCUGGAUGUUGGACUGGACCCUGUUCCUUGCAGGUGCUAUAGCUCAGAUGCAGUGGACUCACAUCGGUGCAUCUCUGCACUCGCGCACACCGUUCACCUACCGCAUCCCCAAAGAUGAGUGGCGUCUAGUCAUCACACUGAACGUUAUGUAUGCGCUGGUGCCUGUGCUCCUCGCCGUCCGCUGCUAUACAGAUCACGCCUUCUUCAUGAAGAACAUCCCACCUGAACAAACCAGCAAUGGCAAGAAGAAACAAUAGAUGUCUGACAGUUCAACUGCAAGAACAUGUAGAUGAAUUGUCAAACAGAGAACCUCUUUGUGCAAUAGAGAACCUCUGUGAUGGAGAAACCUGAAAUAAAAACAUCUUCAGUGGGACAACUGGGGCAUCAACUGGGAGCUUUUUAAAGGACAGAUGCUGUUUUCAACUGAAACUUUCCCAAGUUAUUGGUAAGAGGAAGGGAUGCACACAUUAUCAGUGAAAAUAUCGGUUUCGGACAAUAUUAGUGUUUUUGUUUUUUGGAAGCAAAUGAUUUUCUACUGUAGAUUAAACUGUUUUUAUGUCAUGUUAUCAGUCUGGAUUUUCUACUGCACAUUAAAAUGUUUUGGUGUCAUCACAUUGCUGAUAACUUAAAAAUAACUAUUUGUAUCAGCCAACAUUAUUUUCAUGAUUUUAUUUUAUUUUUUUCAAAUUAUUGAUAUCAGUUUGAUUAGGCCAAAAUUGAAAGCGAACAAUUUUCUACUGUACAUUAAAAUGUUUUGAUGUCAUCAUAUAGGUUAUUGCUCAUAGCAUAAAAUAAUUAUUAGAAUCCACCAACAUUAUUAUUAUUUUUUAAUAUUUCUAAUUAUUGUUUUAGUCUAAUUAGGCAGAUAUUAGAAGCAGAUAAUUUUAUACGGUACAUUAAUAUGUUCUGAUGUCAUUAUAUCAGUCAUAGCUCAUAACAUAUAAAUAAUUAGUAGUAUCAGCCAACAUUAUUAUUAAUAUUUUUUCUUAUCUUAUUAGUCUAAUUAGGCAGAUAUUAGAAGCAGAUAAUUUUAUAUGAUACAUUAAUAUGUUCUGGUCAUUAUAUAAAUUAGUGCCCAUAACAUAUAAAAUAAUUACUAGUAUCAGCCAACCUUAUUAUUAUUAUUAUUAUUAUUAUUAUUAUUGAAAUAUUUUUAAUUAUCAGAUUAGAGUAAUAAGGCAGAUAGUAGAAGCAGAUCAUUUUAUAUGAUACAUUAAUAUGUUCUGAUGUCAUUAUAUCGGUUAUUACCCAUAACAUCAAAAUAAUUAUUAGUAUCGGCCAACAUUAUUAUUAUUAUUAUUAUUAUUUAUAUUUGUAAUUAAGGUAUUGGUCUUAUUAGGCAGAUAUUAGAAGCAGAUAAUAUUAUACGAUACAUUAAUAUGUUCUGAUGUCAUCAUAUAAGUUAGUGCCCAUAACAUAAAAAAGAAUUAUUAGUAUCGGCCAACAUUAUUAUUAUUAUUAUUAGAAAUAUUUUUAAUUAUCAGAUUAGUGUAAUAAGGCAGAUAUUAGAAGCAGAUAGUUUUAUAUGAUACAUUAAUAUGUUCUGAUGUCAUUAUAUCAGUUAUAGCUCAUAACAUAAAAAAAUAAUUAGUAGUAUCAGCCAACAUUAUUAUUAAUAUUUGUUCUUAUCAUAUUAGUCUAAUUAGGCAGAUAUUAGAAGCAGAUCAUUUUAUACGGUACAUUAAUAUGUUCUGAUGUCAUCAUAUAAGUUAGUGCCCAUAACAUAAAAAAUAAUUAUUAGUAUCGGCCAACAUUAUUAUUAUUAUUAUUAGAAAUAUUUUUAAUUAUCAGAUUAGUGUAAUAAGGCAGAUAUUAGAAGCAGAUAAUUUUAUAUGGUGCAUUAAUAUUUUCUGAUGUCAUCAUAUCGGUUAUUAUCCAUAACAUAAAAAAGAAUGAUUAGUAUCAGCCAACAUUAUUAUUAUUAUUAUUAUUAUUAAUAUUUGUAUUAAUAUUUAUAUUUUUAAUUAACGUAUCGGUCUUAUUAGGCAGAUAUUAGAAGCAGAUAAUUUUAUACGGUACAUUAAUAUGUUCUGAUGUCAUUAUAUCAGUUAUAGCUCAUAACAUAUAAAUAAUUAGUAGUAUCGGCCAACAUUAUUAUUAUUAUUUUUAAUUUAUCGUUAUCAGUCUGAUUAGGCAGACAUUGGAAGCGAGUGAUUUUCUACUGUACAUUCAAAUGUUUUGAUGUCAUCAUAUUGGUUAUUUCUCAUAACACAAAAAGAAUGAUUAGUAUCAACAUUAUUGUUAUUGUAUUGAUCUUUGUUCACAAUAACUGAUAAUAGGCCGAUAUUUGAAGCUCAUCAUGUCAUGUUGUUUUUUUGUUUUUUUUAUUCAAAUAGUAUACUCCUUUUUAUAUGCCAGGAUACAAAAGUACUAAACAGUUAUCCAUCUAUUCUACUGUACAUAAAAAUGUGUAGAUGCCUGAUUUUACUUAAAGCAUUGAAUUGUGAACACAGUGUUUAAGUGUUAAAAUGUACAGUAUAGAUUUACAAUAUUGGCCAUCGUAUCGGUUAUCAUAAAACAAUGAUCAGUUAUACUGAUCCUUCCUGUGUUUCUUUUUUUAUAUGGUGUUUUAUAGUAUAAGUGGUUCAUUUUUGUGAAUGUGUGAAUCUGCAUGCAUGGCUUACCUCUCGUCAGUAAAUGAGUCAUGUGGUAAAAUCGUAAUAAAAAUGGAC